GCAUAUCAAUAAGCGGAGGAAAAGAAACCAACCGGGAUUGCCUUAGUAACGGCGAGUGAAGCGGCAAAAGCUCAAAUUUGAAAUCUAGUACCUUCGGUGCUCGAGUUGUAAUUUGUAGAGGGAUACUUUGGGACCGUUCCUUGUCUAUGUUCCUUGGAACAGGACGUCAUAGAGGGUGAGAAUCCCGUGUGGCGAGGAGUGCGGUUCUUUGUAAAGUUCUCUCGAAGAGUCGAGUUGUUUGGGAAUGCAGCUCUAAGUGGGUGGUAAAUUCCAUCUAAAGCUAAAUAUUGGCGAGAGACCGAUAGCGAACAAGUACAGUGAUGGAAAGAUGAAAAGAACUUUGAAAAGAGAGUGAAAAAGUACGUGAAAUUGUUGAAAGGGAAGGGCAUUUGAUCAGACAUGGUGUUUUGCGCCCUCUGCUCCUUGUGGGUAGGGGAAUCUCGCAGCUCACUGGGCCAACAUCAGUUUUGGUGGCAGGAUAAAUCCAUAGGAAUGUAGCUUGCUUGCAAGUAUUAUAGCCUGUGGGAAUACUGCCAACUGGGACUGAGGACUGCGACUUUGUCAAGGAUGUUGGCAUAAUGGUUAAAUGCCGCCCGUCUUGAAACACGGACCAAGGAGUCUAACGUCUAUGCGAGUGUUUGGGUGUAAAACCCGUACGCGUAAUGAAAGUGAACGUAGGUUGGGGCCUCUUUAGAGGUGCACAAUCGACCGAUCCUGAUGUUUUCAGAUGGAUUUGAGUAAGAGCAUAGCUGUUGGGACCCGAAAGAUGGUGAACUAUGCCUGAAUAGGGUGAAGCCAGAGGAAACUCUGGUGGAGGCUCGUAGCGGUUCUGACGUGCAAAUCGAUCGUCGAAUUUGGGUAUAGGGGCGAAAGACUAAUCGAACCAUCUAGUAGCUGGUUCCUGCC
rnacentral:rRNA from 1 species